rnacentral:lncRNA from 1 species
AACAAUAUGAAGCUUUUGAGAUGAGAAGAGUGUUGUGAAUUUGUGAGGAAUGAGGAUGACAAUGACCUCAUAUUUAUAGACAAUUUGAGAUGAUAUCAACAGAUAAGAUAUGACACGUGUCGGACAAAUAUAACCCGUAAUCUAGAUAGCCAGUUAGUGUUUGACAUGUGGAGACGAUAAUCACAUCCGAACUCAGUUGUUUGUCGUAUACACCGACACAACACAAGAUAAUAUCUGUCAAUAAUUUGAUUCUUUGUCAUAUAUGCCGACAUAAAAUGACAAAAAAUUAGUAUGUAUUAAUUAUUUUUUUAAUUAACAAAAUUAUAUUUAAUUAUAAGAAUAAUUUAAAAUUUUGUGAUAAAAAUAAAAAUUGUGAACUUUUAUUAACUUAAUAAGGUUAUUAACAUAUUAUUUAAUAUAAUAUUCAUAAAUAUACUACCUAUAACUUAUUUUAAUCAACAAAAAUGAAUAUAGGACCUCAUAUAGAACUCAUUGUUGGAGAUGAGAAAAUGAGUCCUAAAUGAAUAGUGUAAUAAAGAGGUCCUAUAAUGGAUAUAGGACUCCAAAUCCAAGACCAUUGUUGGAGUUGCCCUUAGAUGCAAAGUAUAGGAUAUACCGGUUAAAACUGUUUUAUCCAAAAAAAAUAUAAUGCAAAUCAAUAACCAGUUAAAUAAACUCAGGUGUAAGAGAUGAGUUAGGAAAAUCCAAAAUUUUCAGAGCUUCAAAUUCUCUUUCUUGGUCAUCAAGCAAAUUAUAUCAGAGGGCAUUCCUGUGUGAUAUUGGGUAUGAAAACUGGUUAUUUGGGCCUUUAAGGAACAAACAUAUAUGAGAAGCCAGGCCCAAAAAACUACAUGGGUCGGGCCCAGAGUCACUACCAGAAGAAAGACUUUAGCCGAACGAAAAAAAAAAACAGGCCGACGAAUCAAUUUUUCGUCGGCUAAAUUAUAUUUUCAUCGGCUAUAGUCAACUUUAGCCGACGAAAUUAAAAUUUCGUCGGCUAAAUNNN